GUACUUCCCUGGCAGGGAAGACACCAUGAUCAGGAAGGUGGUUUUCCCAGGGCAAGGCUCACGCAUUGCACUUGGGGUGUGUUGACCCCUGCGAUUUCCCCAAAUGCGGGAAACUCGACUGCAUAAUUUGUAGUAGUGGGGGACUGUGUUCGCGCUCUCCCCUA